UCUCUUAUCACCAUACGUAUGCCCCUUCUCUCUAUUGCUCUAUUUUCCUAUCUCACUCAACCACCGAAGCCCACACAAAUACACACUCUAGCUCCCUCUAUUUCUCUCACUCCCUCACCGGUAAACCAGCCAUCCACCACCACGUUUGGCGGAUUUCACUGAAGAACCCCAUUAGAAACCCCAUACGCUCCAUUCUCUCAAAGCUUUAAAGGUUCCGAUAUUCUUGGUGAUGGACCUAGUAACUAGAUUAGUUGAUUUUGUGGUGCCCAGUUGAGGUAAAAUUGGUUGGCCUUCCGAGGCAAAUAGCUUUUUAAUGGGAUUUUGAAAAAUAACCAUGUUAUAUACAUGUUUUUGGGUUGGACACGCUUUUGGAAACUACCAAUGGAAAUUAUAUUUUCCUAAAAACUAUUGUGUCGUAACCUUAAUAUAUAUAUAUAUAUAUAUAUAUAUAUAUGAUUAUAUAUGGAAAUGUAUCAUAUUUGGUAUUGCAUUCGGGGAAAUGCAUGAAUUGUUGAUAUGGAAAAAUGAGCAUAUUUUAUUUAAUCUUUGAUAAGAAAAUCAUUGAUUUUAUGGUGUAUUGAAAAAUUUAUAGAUGCUUAUCUUGUCUUGUAUUAUUUGGGAAAUUGAUAGAAAAUCUCUUGACAAGAAUGAAGUUGAAAACCUUACAAACUUUGUAGAAGUUAUAUUAUUUAAGGUUUUCUGAAACUACUUGGAUAUGAACUAUGUGUUUCAAAGUAAUGUAACUUGCAAGCUUAUGUGCUUUUAAUAUCAUGCCAUGUGUGAUCUCUCGGUGAUCACCCGAUUUGGUUUCAGUAGUCUUUGUGACAACGGAAUCAAAUCCAGGUCAGUGCCCUUUCACUUUGGAUGACGCAUUGUUCCUUGCUGUCCAUGGGGGGAAGAGGUUCCUUGCUUGUGUGUGGGUGAGGUUGCUGCCCAUGGAGCCAAGAGACCACAUGCAAAAGAGGUCCUAUUUGAUGUGCUCUCUCUGUUGCCCAUGGGGGGAGAGAAAAACCUUGAGGGUAUGGGUGAGACUGCUGUCCAUGGGGCCAAGAGUCUGCAUAUUAGAGAGGACAAUAUCAUGCCAGUUGUGAAUGGGUGGAUCCCCUGACUAGUUUAUGUGAUAGUAUGGUAUAUUUAUGAUAAAUUACCGUAUGUUAGAUUUUAUGGCUUUGGAAAUUAUAUUGUUAGUGCUCACAGAUUAUAGUAUAUAGUUUCAAGGUAUUUACUUUGAGAAA